CCUACGGGAGGCAGCAGUCGAGAAUUAUUCACAAUGGGGGAAACCCUGAUGGUGCGACGCCGCGUGGGGGAAUGAAGGUCUUCGGAUUGUAAACCCCUGUCAUGUGGGAGCAAAUUAAAAAGAUCGUACCACAAGAGGAAGAGACGGCUAACUCUGUGCCAGCAGCCGCGGUAAUACAGAGGUCUCAAGCGUUGUUCGGAAUCACUGGGCGUAAAGCGUGCGUAGGCUGUUUCGUAAGUCGUGUGUGAAAGGCGCGGGCUCAACCCGCGGACGGCACAUGAUACUGCGAGACUAGAGUAAGGGAGGGGGAACCGGAAUUCUCGGUGUAGCAGUGAAAUGCGUAGAUAUCGAGAGGAACACUCGUGGCGAAGGCGGGUUCCUGGACAUUAACUGACGCUGAGGCACGAAGGCCAGGGGAGCGAAAGGGAUUAGAUACCCGAGUAGUC
rnacentral:rRNA from 1 species